rnacentral:rRNA from 1 species
GACGGAGGGUGCUAGCGUUGUUCGGAAUCACUGGGCGUAAAGGGCGCGUAGGCGGCCUUGCAAGUCGGUUGGUGAAAGCCCGGGGCUCAACCCCGGAGGUGCGGCCGAGACUGCAGGGCUGGAGGCCGGAAGAGGAGGGUGGAAUACCCAGUGUAGAGGUGAAAUUCGUAGAUAUUGGGUGGAACACCGGUGGCGAAAGCGGCUCUCUGGUCCG